rnacentral:rRNA from 1 species
CCUACGGGAGGCAGCAGUGGGGAAUAUUGGACAAUGGGCGAAAGCCUGAUCCAGCCAUGCCGCGUGUGUGAAGAAGGCCUUCGGGUUGUAAAGCACUUUCAGUGGGGAAGAAAGCCUUGGGGCUAAUACCCUCGAGGAAGGACAUCACCCACAGAAGAAGCACCGGCUAACUCCGUGCCAGCAGCCGCGGUAAUACGGAGGGUGCGAGCGUUAAUCGGAAUUACUGGGCGUAAAGCGCGCGUAGGCGGUCUGAUAAGCCGGUUGUGAAAGCCCCGGGCUCAACCUGGGAACGGCAUCCGGAACUGUCAGGCUAGAGUGCAGGAGAGGAAGGUAGAAUUCCGGUGUAGCGGUGAAAUGCGUAGAGAUCGGGAGGAAUACCAGUGGCGAAGGCGGCCUUCUGGACUGACACUGACGCUGAGGUGCGAAAGCGUGGGUAGCAAACAGGAUUAGAUACCCCGGUAGUC